CUUCAGCCUUCUGGUAGUAUAAGGCAAAAUCAACUAUUUCCUCCUUAGAUUGUUUUUGGUUGUGGUGUUUUAUCACAGCCACAGAAAAGUAACAACAAUCUGCUAGGAAAGGCAUUGUUGAGGUCACAAUAGCUUCUCCAGGCACAUGUCACUGAAGUCAUCAUAGGACGAGUGCUGGGCUAAACCCAACAUUUCAGGACGUUCAUGGUAACUAUAUGAACCAGACAACCAGAGUUGAUGAGGACUGCUGGCCCUUAUCCAGGUUUUGAUGGGUGUCCCUUGAUGAAUUCAAAUUGGACUAAGAAGACAUUGAGAAGUUUUUCCAUGAGUUUCAAGUGCUGGUGGUGAUUUGACAUCAGUCUGCAUCUUGUCUUUUGCUAAACUAGAGCUCACAGUGUUAGACACACUGACCAGUCUCUCUCCAGAGCCCACUGUGCUUCGAUGAAUGUGCUGCCAUCUCCAGCUUUCAUCCGGUUCUCUCCAGGGCCUCAUUAGCAUUCUCGUCAUCUGCCAAAGUCGGCUCUUCCUUGGCAAGAACAAAGCAGAACCUUCAUCUUAUCUGCAGGAGAACACCAGGGUUCAGUUUCCUCUGUUCACUUGAUGCUGAGAAGAGCCUCAGUCCAGGGCACUGUGCCAGCUUGUGCUAUGUUCCCAGAGCUGUCAGUGCACAUCCUUGUCAGCAGGAAUGGAUCACAGAGUAAUUUCCAUUCCUGCAGAAAAACCAGCCUAGGAGCUUCGAGCAGCAACCUGAGCGGCCUGUGGAGCCAGGCUGCAUUCCCAGCUGCAAACAGCCCUGCAAAAUGACUCCGAGGAGGAGGUUGGAGAAAGGAGUGCACCGUGACCAGAUUAGCAACUGUGGGUAUUCACCUGAGCAAAAGGUCAGGAUUCAAAGAUGGAGGACCUCUGCCUUCUAGUAGUCAGAACACUGUGUUUUUCUCAUCUGUAGGGUGGGAAGCCCAUUAAGCUCUCUCUUUUCUCACAACACAGGGCUGUUGUGAGGAUGGUGAUGAAGUAAACAGGUAAGGCCUGCAGAGUGAGGAAAGGUUGAUGUGUUUUAUAGCAGCAUGAUACAGCAAGAUGGCGUGCCUCAGUGGACCCAUUCUGAGGCACACACCCCCUCCCCACCACCGCCCUGAGGUGUCAGCCAUGUGAUGGGUCUGGUAUAAAAUAUAAAAUGAAGUUUAUCUGGUACCUGGAAAGGGGAUCAGAGAAAGAAAGGGGUCAGAAAAAGACAGAGAGAAGAGAGAGAACAAGGAAAGAGGCUGACCAGGAACAUGUUGGGAGAGAGAGAUGAUGGAGGGAGAGUGAGAAAGUGAGAGAGAUAACAUGGAGGGUCCUUUUACAUGUCAAUCAGGCUCAAUGUGGCUGUUGCUAGGUAACUGUUGGGCAGAACCUAGAGGAAAUGCUAACACAAGUGACUCCCACAAUCCCUGCAAGCUGUAUCUUCUUAGACAAGCUGAGGAGCCAGGACAUGCUAGUCCUCAUUUGACAAGCCAAAAGGUAGCAAUGAAGUGAAGUAGCCCGGCAGUGGAAAGCACACGAUGGGGAAAAACUGACUCUGGAGGGUGCCUGAAAGUCUGCAGAGACUAGCUCCAGACACAGAGGAGCUCAAGAAGUUCCCUAGGCCAUCCAAGGUCAAACAAAUGGAAUGCAGUAUGGGCCUCUUUUGCUUCAAAGGUACUCUCUCUGCCUUCCACAGCCUCUGUUUCUGGAUUGCCUUCCUCUUCCUCUGCCUGUAGAGAGGCUGGACAUGAUACAAGAAUGAGUUAGGAAGGCAACCCUUCUUCUAGACAAGCCAAACUGCAUCCUAACACAUACAAGACUUAUUGUCUCCACCUUCAGUGCCUAAGAGGCCUAUACUGAAUGUCCAGUUGCAUGAUCUUGGGGAGUUUAAGACUUCUCUGGUUCUUCAUUGUUUUCUCAGUGAGAAGGGUACUUUUCAAAAAGCUUGUGGGGACUGGGGAGAUAGCGCAACAUGAGGACUUGAGAUCAAAACCCAGAACCCACAUAAAAAGCCAGGUGUGAUAACACAUGCUUGUCAUCCCAGCAGUGGGGAGGCAGGGAAGUUUGCUAGCCAGCUAAGGUAGUCAAGUCAGCAAGCUUCAAGGCUAUGAAAGUCCUGUCUCAUAACACAAGGUAAAUAGCACUAAGAAAGGAAAUCUCAGGUUGACCUCUGAUUUCUGACACCCCCCCCACACACACACACACUCAUAAAAGUGAAGAUGUUUGCAGACAGUAGAGAACAAGUAUCACCAAGUUGGCCCCAGAAUUAGUGACCCAUUUCUCCGGAUUCUACAACCAGCCCCACACUUCUAAUGUUCUCAUUGGAACCAUGAAGUGGUUGGUGACUUAACUCACUGAGGACAGCCACAGGUUGAAUCUAUGGGGAUCUUCCAGGCACAGCCUCCUUCCCUUAGGGUUCCAGUUGCCAAGGCUGCUUCUCACUGACACCAGAAGAGAGUAGGUCUGUUCUUCCCCUGGGCUGGAAGCAGUGUUCUGCUGACAAGAAUGGCCCUUGGAGCUAACACUCCCACCAGGCACACAGGAGAGCCAUGGGGAAUAUACCACUCAAAGCCUGGCCUAGAAACUGCUCCCCAACCCUAGGGACCUAGAGCUCUCCAGUUCCACCCCUGGAGUCAGCAGAGAAGAAGGGUCUUCAGCGAGCUUCCCAGAGAGGCUGAGCCCUUCACAGCUAACCAGGGAACUCCAAGCAUCAACAGAAUUUGAGAGGACAUUGAAGGACCCAAGUCAGAGCCUGGGAGGAUCUACCCUACAGUGAAAGCUCAUCUUAGCUUUUAUCUACCUGCACAUAAAGCCUUUAUCUCCAAACACCAUGCACAGAGAUACGACCAUUUCCUAUUUCAUCUCCCAGCUCAAUCAUGAUCUCUUCAACACAGUCACCAGUACCUGGCAGAGAGCCAGGCAUUUAGUAAACAUGCUUUGAGUUCAGAGAGAAGGAGCUCAGCUGGAUUCUCUGGGUGUUGUCAACUGUACUUGAGAGUUCUGUGUCAGACUUUUCAAUGCUGUUACAAAUACCCAAUCAACAUAUUGUAAAAGGAGCAAACAUUUGUUUCGUUUCACAGUUUCCCAGGUUUCCACUCAUGGUCUGCUUGGUCCAUUGCUUUCAGGGCUGUGGUAAGCAGAGCAUCCUGAAGUAGAGACAUGUAUGCCUCACCUUGAGCCAGCUGAGAAGCAGAGAAGGGAAAACAGGAAGGGACCAGGCCAAGAUGUAAGGCCACGCCCCCACGGGCCUGCUUCCUCUUAUCAGCCCUCACUUCCUGCCUUUUGCGGUCACCGAAUACUGCUGCCACAUUGUGACUCCAUAAGGAGUGAAAUAGCGUCUCGUCUCGGCCUUUUAGCUAAGAUCAUGUGUAACAUCAGGAGUGAAUCCAUUGAUUGGGUCAGGAUCCCCAGGAUCCGGUCACUUCCCCAAAGUCCCUAGUCAUUUUUCUAUUGCUGUAAUAAAACGCCCUAACCAAAGAAGACGUUUAAUUUUUCUUAGUUCCAGAGAAUGAGAGAGGCUACAGUGAGGGAGCAGAAGAGCUGAGAAUUCAAAUCUCGAUCCACAAGCAGGAGGCAGAAAGUGCACUGGAGCGUCAAAGCCCUCGGCAGCAGCACUUUCCCAACAAACCCG
ensembl:lncRNA